CCUACGGGAGGCAGCAGUGGGGGAUAUUGGACAAUGGGGGGAACCCUGAUCCAGCGACGCCGCGUGAGUGAAGAAGUAUCUCGGUAUGUAAAGCUCUAUCAGCAGGGAAGAAGAAAUGACGGUACCUGAGUAAGAAGCCCCGGCUAACUACGUGCCAGCAGCCCCGGGAAUACGUAGGGGGCAAGCGUUAUCCGGAAUUACUGGGUGGAAAGGGAGCGUAGACGGUGAUGUAAGUCUGGAGGGAAAGGCGGGGGCCCAACCCCCGGACCGCUCUGGAAACUAUGUGACUGGAGUGCAGGAGAGGUGAGCGGAAUUCCAUGUGUAGCGGUGAAAUGCGUAGAUAUUAGGAGGAACACCAGUGGCGAAGGCGGCUCACUGGCCUGUAACUGACGUUGAGGCUCGAAAGCGUGGGGAGCAAACAGGAUUAGAUACCCCAGUAGUC
rnacentral:rRNA from 1 species